CAAGCGGUGGAUGAUGUGGUUUAAUUCGAUGCAACGCGAAAAACCUUACCCACCUUUGACAUGUACGGAAUUUACCAGAGAUGGUUUAGUGCUCGAAAGAGAGCCGUAACACAGGUGCUGCAUGGCUGUCGUCAGCUCGUGUCGUGAGAUGUUGGGUUAAGUCCCGCAACGAGCGCAACCCUUGUCAUUAGUUGCUACAUUUAGUUGGGCACUCUAAUGAGACUGCCGGUGACAAACCGGAGGAAGGUGGGGAUGACGUCAAGUCCUCAUGGCCCUUAUAGGUGGGGCUACACACGUCAUACAAUGGCUGGUACAAAGGGUUGCCAACCCGCGAGGGGGAGCUAAUCCCAUAAAACCAGUCGUAGUCCGGAUCGCAGUCUGCAACUCGACUGCGUGAAGUCGGAAUCGCUAGUAAUCGUGGAUCAGAAUGUCACGGUGAAUACGUUCCCGGGGUCUUGUACACACC
rnacentral:rRNA from 1 species